UCUCAUUGUGUUGCUUCAAACUCUCAAAAGGCCAAGGAUGCAACUCGCACGGGGACGACAGCGAAGACUGUGCUCGGCGUCGGCCUGAGAUGAAGAUCAGCUCGAGAACAGCCGGGGAAAAGCAGGACAAGACGAGUCGCAGCUCAGCGGCAGCAGCGACGUACAGCGCAGUCACUUUCAUCAUAAAUAACGCCUCGCGCGGCGUCGACCUCGGCUGAACCCGUUGCUUUCCCAGCAGGCAGGUAGCUUUGUGGUUGGAGACAGACUACACCUGAGGGUGUUUAAUCUCCCCGGCUCCUGAGGAGAGGCUUUCGUGUGGGUUUAAUUAACUCCUUUAACAACCAGUGCGGGAUAAACACAUUUGGGCUCGCUGUCACCUAUCGGGGGAAUUAAAAGCUGCACGGAGGUGAGAAGGAUGGGAGUCGGGGAAGGAGGUAGUGGAGCAGAACUCAGCUUGCUGCAACCCAGCGGACUGACGCACCUAAAUGGAAAAGCCUGAGGGGGAGGGCGGGAGCAGCGAGAGAGAAAAUUAGCCUGCAGGCUCAGGAAAAGGCUGGAAUGAGUUUAACAGAACGAGUAAAUAUGGACUUCAAAAAUAUGGAAUAAUUUUGUAAAAAGCCUCAUGAAGAACGGUUUAUAAAAUAUGAUUCCGUAGGGAAAACACACAUAUGUCACAUCUUUCAGAAACAACGUCACUUCAGGCUGGUUGCACUUUCUUAUUUCUGUGUUAUUAGUUACUUUUACCUUCCGUUGUCAGCGGCGCCAUCGUGACCUCAGGGAUGUUCCUGGGUCCGCAUCAUUAAUAACCCUGCAUCAUGAUGUAUUGGACUUUAUUACUUGCCUUUGCACUGGAAGGUUGGGGAGUGAAACUGCAGCACGCUGCGCCUGGAAUUCAACAUUUCCCGGCAGAUAUGUAGGAGAACGUUAGCUCCUCGUGUCCAUCGGUUCUGCUGACGCCACCGAAACCAGUCACCGGAUCUGAACCAGGAGGUCACUUAUUCAUUUGUACAUGCAUCUUGCUAGCCCGAGUCCUGUCGCAAUGGUAUGUUUAAGCACUGGUCUCGUUCACAGCUCCAGAACAUCGUCAAGCGGACGUGCGACGAGACCGUUUCACUGCUAUUUUACUUUCGACAUUUGUCACCGUGGCGACGGAGAAAGGCUGGGAAAUGUUUGGCUCUUGUUAUGAGAGAACCCGCGCUCCACGCACACACCCCUGUUCCGAUUAGCCCAGGCAGACGGAGCACAGCACCAACACCCCCCGAAAUCAAUGUUCACCGAGGUAUUACUGUAUCUUGACAUGAUAAUCUUCUUUUUAAAUGCACCGCUGCACCCUUCCCUCCACCCAUGGAGCGCCGCAGACAGCUCAUACAUUAUCAUUGAGUGACUUUACUCUUUGCUCGCCCCUCUUUCUGUGUGUCACACCCACUGACUGCCCCCCUCCUCCCCCAAAACCACCCCCCCUCCACCUCUCUUUCUAGUUGGAGUGCCUCAGUGUGAAAACCUCAUUAUGUUCUGCUACUGGACCUGCAAACUCAAUUGGACAGAGAGCUGUAGUCCGCGCCUGAGCCGGCGCGUCAGUGUUUGUGUGAGUCUGGACGUGUGUGCGUGUGUGCGUGCGCGCGGGUACCUGUAAUCAAUAGUGAAUAAAUCUGGCAGGGCUCCAUCGGCGUGACAGCGCCCAAGCGGGGGACAUUUUCCAUUUUUUCAAGCGCCGGGCCACAAUGGCGGCAGGAACUGGGCAGGCUGUUAAGAGGCCUGUGGCCAGCCACACAUUUCACUAGGCUUUAACUGGCUCCUCGUUUACUCUGUUUUGCUGCCGGCCGUCAGAUUUUUCACGUAACACACUCUCAAGUUCAAUAAAAGGCAUCCUUUAGGAUCCCUGUGCGUUCAUGAUGAACGUGGACACACGUUAGAACGGGAAUAUUGGAGACUUUAAAAAUCUCCUAAGCAGGAGAAAUACACAGAAAUAUAGGCUGAUGCCGAGAGUUGCAACAAAUGGACUUAAGCCGUGUCUUUGUGGCUAGGAUUUGUUUUCAUGCUGGUGAGUUGAAUGUGAGACAACAGUGUCAUCUUUCCAGUCUGAUCUGGGUUUUGGAUGAGGCAUCUCUCUCUCGGACGCAGAGCACACACACACACACACACACACACACACACACACACACACACACACACACACACACACACACACACCGCCCGCGCGCCGCUUCCAGACGUGUGAUGUGUCGAACAAAGCGAAGCGGCCCGACAAGGAGCGGAGCAGGUUCCUCAGAGGAUAAUCCAACUUGCACUGGGCGCCCUCUGAUGAGUAAUAAGAAGGAGGAUUCGCUCAUGCUCCCAGAUAGCGAGAGGGUGAGACUCAGUUAAGUUUGCAUUAGCGCCUUUUUUCCCCCUGUCUCCUGCAGUGAGGAAAAGGAGAAGCGUUCUCAAACAGCCCCAUUCAUCAUCCUCCAACGCCCUAUCUCUCUGCGUCAGGGAUAGCCUUGUUCUCUCAGACUGUCCAGCUGUGACGGGGGAAAAAAACCUCUUAACUAACCUGAUGUUUCUGCAUCAGCCAGAGUGGCCGACACGCGGCAGAGCGGGGGACAGAAGCACAGCCAGUCGCCCCGAAUAACACCGUACCGCACAUUUCUAACAUGUUUGAAUGCGUGCGUCUGUUGACACGUUCACCGACUAAUUAGCUCCAUAGACACCAACAGCAGCGCACAACACAACAGCAGUGAAACCUUGAACAUGUAUUCACAGAAUAAUGACUCAGCCUCAGCAGUAAACACAAGACAAACGGGUGCAAACUGUACAACACACCACAAUCUACUGGAUGUAAGUGGAGCUGAAUAGUGCAACUGCUGUAGCUUCUCAUAAGAGUUCAGACCAUUGUACGGCUAAUCAAAACAAUGUGUGGUGAGUAAAAGGUCUAUAAUACAAAUGUUAACUAUUCAUGCCUCCUCAUACAAUAUGUACCAAGAUUGUGCAGCAUGUUACAUCUGAGACACUUAAACGAGGUCAUUUACAUUUAAUUUGAUGCCCAGAGACCAUGCACCAGCCCUGCUCGUACGGAGGAACAGCUACUGUAGCAGACCUUGCUCCGUAUCCUGAGCUACUCUGCACAGCACAGGCUGGUGUCAGCUGCAGGGCAGAUGAUGCUCCACUCAUCACACUUGUGCUGCACGAUGACUUAAUGGCUGUUUCUAUUCAUUUCCCCCCGACUACAGCUGACACUAACCUGAUAAUUACCAAAUAUUAUAGUUAUUUGUCUUGUCUCGUUCUCUCCCCGUUCCCUCUGUAUGUACCAAACUAAGCCUCGUUUUCCACUUAGCUCAAUGCAAGCAAAUGGCCUAAUGAUACUUUUCCUCUCUUUGUUGUGAAUGAUUACCCAUCAAGUUCAAUUUAAUGUCAGAGGUAAAUGUUUUGCUAUAAUGUUGGAAUUUGUAGAUGUUAUUAAUAGAGCAACCGGAUGAUAUCCGAGGGCAGCUGGACUGUGACAUCACAUUAUGAGACGUGGAUGUGGAGGUCUGUAUGGCCAGGCUCAAGGUCCUCUUAUGAUGCUGAGAGUAAACAAGAUGAGAGUCCAGAGAGAAGCAGGAUCAGCUCGGAUGUGCUUUACCCACUUACAAUGUGCAUUUGCAACAUACUGAUAAUGACAGUUGGGCUGUACUGAAAUAAAUGAAACCUUUUAAAGCAAUUAGAAAUACUGUGAAUGCUUAAAGCAUAGACACGGCCUGGUACAGUUAACUAACAUAUUUUAUCCACAAGAUUAGUUUCACUUCACACCUGUGCUAAAUAGGCCUGUUGGGUGAAAACUUCCUUCCCAGGUUUUACCUUCAUGACAAAAGGGGAGUAUUCAUAUUUUAAAUUAUUUAUAUUAAGCCAAAUUAAACUGAUUAUUUUCAGAAGAAAUAGGAGGUAAGCCUAGUUUUACAACAUUUUGUAGACGAGAUGGGCAGGUUUCCUUGGAAGAGUAAGGAUUUGUAAAAAUGAAUCAGAACAUGUUUAAAAAAGUCUCUAAUUCGACUCCAAUCUGUGUCAAGUAAUUUGUGGAGAAAUCUACAGUUCUUCCACAUGAACACACACUUUGCUCAUUGCGUUGUUCUCUCUGUUGCAGCCACGUAUUUUAGAGGAGAGAAGAAAAAAUCAAUCUGUAGUUUUUUGCAUUUUGUGGCGAGGGCUGCUGAAAUGAUAAGGGCCCGAAAAUCAAAGGGGGAGAGAGCGAGAGAGAUGCAGCGUGAACUCUGUGUCUGAUUACAACUUUUCGUGAUGAGAGACGCGUCUCAGCUCACAGCUGCUGGUUCCCGUCAGACUGUGCAAGACGGAUCAAAACUAAUGCUGCUGACAUGUUAUUGGGAGGAAACCAAAUCAUCCCACUGAUAGGUCCAUUAGUCACUAAAUAUCUUGCUGUGUGUGGAACUGAUGUGCGCAUCAAUAUUAUAGAGCUUUUUCUAUGUUAACAUUUCUUAUUUGAAUAGGGAGGAAUUAUGUCCUGUAUAAGAAUGACUGACAUCUGAGUAUAAUGGAGACGGAGGAUGUGUGUUAGUGUCUGGGCCAGUUCUCUGCUCGUCUGCAUCUCAAAUCUACCUGCAAAGCCUGCAAGGUUUGAAUUGUAUGUAUAUUUGCAAAAGCUUUACGCAAUGAAUGAAGAAACGUAAAAUAAUGUGUGAGUGUUUGUUUAUUUUAAUUAGAAAAUAAAUGAAAAAUAUAUACAUUAUUAUUACUGUAGAUGUGUUAUUUUUAACAGACAGUCAAACAGACAGAGACACACAGUGACCAGGUGGACCUUAAAUAGGCUCCAGAUGACAAGACCACACUGUACUGAGCAUCACAACGCUGUCAGGGCGCGUGUGUGUGUGUGUGUGUGUGUGUGUGUGUGUGUGUGUGUGUGUGUGUGUGUGUGUGUGUGUGUGUGUGUGUGUGUGUGUG